rnacentral:misc_RNA from 1 species
CCUGCCUCUCCCACGCUCGCAUUAACAAGAUCAUUCCAAUUUGUAGCAUCGGUGAUGAGAAAAAAGUUAAAAACCGGAGGACAAUCCCCCAACUGUAACUGCGGCUUGCGAAGAUCACCGACUUCCAACCGAAUAUAACUAUUAUUUUCUGUCGUUUCGAAACUUCUCUUCUCCACCUAAAAUUUCCUAAAUAAUGUACUCCUCAUUUAAAGCUUUCAACAAACACUUGAAGAACACCUACCUCUCUGUCUAUUACAAUCACACAUCUACCGGUCACCGAUGCCUUCAUUACUAUCCCUAUCUUUGUUUCACCCUUUUUAAACCUCCGUCCUUGUCUUCUUCAUCUCUGUCGACUCUUGCCUUUCGCUUCUUUGCUUAUCGUUUUUACACUUGUAAGACACGUCCCUUGUGCGCCCAUUGAAUUUGGAAUUCUCUGCUUAUGUUUUCCUUGUUUUGGGUUUUUGUGGCUCUUCUGUUUGAAGAAAUGACUGGCUUAUGAUCGCGGUUUAGUUUUUUAGUAUAUAUAUCUUAGAUUAUCUCGGAUGAAUCUACGAAGCAUUCGAUUUUUUUCUUCUUCUUCUAUGAAUUUUUAGAAAGUAAUCCUAUCCCAUUGUACAGUGCAAAUGAGGAAGCGAAUUUUAAUAGUUAUGAUUAAAAUUUAAUUUGAUUCCCCUCUGACCUUAUAUUAGAUUUGCAGCGCCUCGUUCUGGUACAUUUAUGGAGGUAGUCAAAGCGGUGUAUAGACAGGGGAAUGCAGCUGCAGAUAGCAUUGCUAUCAGGGCUGACCAGAAGAAUUACACUUACGCACAACUCAUCUCAUCUGCUUGGAACAUUUCUAAUAUAUUGUGUAACGCUGGAUUAAAGACUGUGAGUUGAAAUUAACUCAUUGAUUUGUUUUUGUGAAUCUGUAGAGGAAACUGUAUGAUCUGUUAUUAGCAUUGUUACCUUCAGUUGAAUUUGAAGCUUUGUGGGAAGAAUUUUACACGAUUUAAUUAUUUGUUAAUGAUUCAAGUCUAUUAUUCUUAAAUGGAUUUCUUCGCUUGGGGGUUUAGUUAACUCUUUGUCUUUGUGAAGCUAGCAAGACUAAAAUUCUUCUUUGUAGGUUGAUGGUAUCAGAGGAAAUGGACAUCUUGGUGGAGCUCGAAUAGGAAUUGUGGCUAAACCUUCAGUUGAGUUUGUUGCUGGAGUGCUAGCAACUUGGUUUAGUGGAGGUGUUGCAGUUCCACUCGCACUCAGCUACCCUGAGACUGAGCUUUUGCAUGUGAUGAAUGACUCAGUAUGUAUGAAAUGCUUUUUGUUCCAGCAAACACACCCCCUGCUUCCCUUCUCCUCUCUCUUUUUAUUGUGGAAUUGCUACACCUACUCUUAGGUUAUUGUACAUAAAACCACUUCGGUGCACUGUUAAGCAACCCUUUUGAGGCUCAUAAAUAUGUGUGUAUACGUGUACUGGAGGGAAAGGCCUGUGUGUGUCGGGAGCAAUUUUGCUUCAUUCUAUCCCACAAAAUCUUAAUUAAGUUAUUUUCCUUUACUGUGAACCAAUCUCUGAUUUUCGUUUGAUUGAUAGGAAAUAUCUAUGGUACUGAGCACCGAAGAUCAUAGUGAGUUGAUGCGAAAUAUUGCUGCUAAAUGCGCUGCCCAAUUUUCCCUCAUUCCUUCUGUUCCCAGUAUUUCUUCGCAAAAAAGUGAACAUUAUCCUUCACAAAUUGGAGCUAUGGAUGCAGAUAGAGAUGAAGAUCCAGCACUAAUUGUUUAUACAAGUGGCACAACAGGUAAACCUAAAGGUGUUGUCCAUACUCACGAAAGUAUUACUGCACAGGUAACUGCCUGACCACCACAUACUCCCUUAGUUUGAGCAUCUCUUUCUGUUUUAGUACCCCUUAUGAUAUGGCUGUCUGUGCAACUUAUGAGUUAAUGGUGCGAGCAUUGAACGGUAAAAUAAUGCAUGGUAUCGUAUACAAAUCUUAUGGUGCAUACACUGCCAGAUACUCUUUUUCUUAUUACUAUUGGAAUAUGCUACAUAGCUCAAUAAAUUUGUGCCACCUUUAUUAUCCCACUUGACAUGGCAUCAUUCUAUUGGCAGUAAUCCGCAUCCACCCAUGAAUUUUGAGCAUGCAAUGCGAAAAACAUAGCAAUAGACAUAUGUCAUGUCAGGUGGGAUAAUUAGGGCAGCAGACAUGCAGCACUUUUCUUACUAUUUUAAUUACUUUAGCGGCAUGCAAUUAUACUGUCAACAUAGUAUGUGUGAAUGAUAACAUGCCCUUCUUGAGUUCAUUUUCUAUUUUAAUAUUGAUUUUAGCAAUAACUAUGCUGAAGUUUGGCUAAAUUUCAGGUUAAAAUUUUGGCAGAAGCUUGGGAGUAUACAUCUGCUGAUCAGUUUCUCCAUUGUCUACCACUGCAUCAUAUCCUGAAAUCAUACCUAUUUAUACUGCAAUGAUAAUUCUUUUCAUACUGAUGAUGCCAUUGCUUCUUUAGUGCAUUAUGCAGAAGAUUUUGUGUCAAAUGGAUCCUUAACUUAUAACAUACAUGUUCAUGGACUUUUCAAUGCUCUAUUUGCCCCUAUCUAUGCCGGUUCCACUGUAAUUUUAAUGUUUUUACUAGUUCCAAUAUAGACACAUGCGCGCAUGUUCCUAUUGGAAAAUUUAGUUUUUUUGGUAGGUGAGAUUGAUUUUGUUUUGAAUAAUCUUUUUAAAUUAUUGAAGGUUGAAUUUAUGUCAAAAUUUAGUGUGAGGGGAAUCUGGCAAAGAUGGCGAGAAUCAUAUCAAAUAAAAGGGAAAAAAGCUGAUGAUGCUAUAACAGUGUUUACAGGAGUAAGUAUAUUCUUUAUAUUAGGUAUUCUUAUGCAGAUAUUCAAUUUCUUACUCUUUUUCAUGAUAUCUCUGAACUUGCAAAUUUAUUUUCUCUUAGCACAUCAGCUAUUGUGAUUUGUGCUCUCUUCUUUAAAUGAAUGUUUGGCUCUUGUCUCACUGUAUGGAAUCAAAACAAGGUGCAGUAUCUAGGUAUUGCUUGUCAGUUGUAUUAAUAUUAAGUGUGAAAAGAAAAACCUUAGUACAAUCUUCUACUGCACACCCUACUUUCUUCUUGUGGUGUUUGUACUUAAAUCCUAAAUUUAUGGAUGUUAUGCAUAUACUGGUAAAAUUGUCAUCAUGAAGUUUCAUAGAACCAUAUGUUUUUGUGACAUACAGGUUCCAACCAUGUACACUCGAUUGAUACAAGGUUAUGAAGCAAUGGACCCAGAGCUUCAGGCAGCUUCUGCCUCUGCGGCAAGACAAUUGCGGCUAAUGAUGUGUGGCUCCUCAGCACUCCCUCUUCCUGUCAUGGAACAAUGGGAAACCAUCACAGGGCAUCGCCUUCUAGAAAGAUAUGGCAUGACCGAGUUUGUCAUGGCAAUAUCAAAUCCCUUAAAAGGUGAGCGAAAGGCAGGCACUGUAGGCAAACCAUUUCCUGGAGUGCAGGUCAAGAUUGUAGAAGAUGAAAGUGAAAAUGAUACAACAGGGGUGGGUGAGCUUUGCGUUAAAAGCCCUUCAUUGUUCAAAGAGUAUUGGAAACUUCCCAAGGUAACCAGUGAAUCAUUUACUGAUGAUGGCUUUUUCAAGACAGGAGAUGCUGGCAAAAUAGAUGAAGAUGGUUACUACAUAAUUUUGGGACGUAAGCAAAUCUAUAUUCAUUUUUUGUGCUCUUAUUGAUCUGUUGUAUUUUUUCUUUCUUGCUAUGUAUGCCUUUUGCAUAGGACAAGACCCUUUCCCCCAUUUUUAUUGCAGUCAUAUUUAUAGUUUAUGGAAGGAAUUCUUUUAUUGCCCUUGCAAACUUCAAUAUCUAGUAGUCUAAUAAUUUGGCCCUGCAUAUGUCAUAACUUCACAACAAUGUUCAAUGUAGUGCUCAUGCCUAUCUGAUUCAUAAUGGACAAUGCCCUGUACAAUUUUCUUCAGUUCAGAUACACUGUUAUCUGUAAAAAACAAAUUGAUCAAGUGUCAUCAAAAGACAUUGAAUAAGAACACUCAAUUCCCUACACCUCUCACCAUCAACACCCCCCCCCCCCACCAACCGCAAUCCAAAAAUAAAAAAAUAAAAUAAAAUCCUCUUGCUGAUGUGGCCACCCUUCAUUUCACUGCUGAUAUGCCUUCUAUUGAUUUUGUUGAUAACCAUAGAACAACAAAGUUGUACCAGUAUGGAAGUACUAUGGCUGGAAAAUAUAGUAGGUCCAACUUCUGGUGUGAUAGUCCUUCCUGUUGAAACCCAUAACACCUUGAUUUUACAUUUCAGGAACAAGUGCUGAUAUCAUGAAAGUUGGGGGAUACAAAUUAUCAGCAUUAGAAAUUGAAUCAGUCCUUUUGGAGUAUCCAGCUGUUGCUGAAUGCUGUGUUUUGGGUUUGCCGGACAAAGAUUAUGGAGAUGCUGUGUGUGCAAUUGUUGUGCUAGAGGAAGCAGAAAAAAGAAAAAGAGAGGAAGAGUUAAAGCCUGCUCUAAUCUUGGAAGAACUCUGUGAGUGGGCUAAAGGAAAGCUUGCACCAUACAAGGUAUUGCAGCAUGGACAACUCCCUAUUUUCUCCAUGUACAUAUCUAUUUUGUUAAGAGUUCCUCUUCCAGUUGAUUAUGGCAGUUUUAUGCAUAUUGUUAAUUUUAUUCAUGAAUGAUGAAAAUUGAAAUACUGUCUGUAUCAGGUGUAGUUUCCUAGUUAAAAGGUUUUUGCUGGUAUAAUUUUUUAAUUGGGCAAGGGCUGUUUGGUAAUUGGGGGAGAGGAGGGGGGCACAUUUUUGUGGUGCAACUAAGAUCUCUUCAAAGCUUAAGGAUUGCUAUGUGUCCCUUCAAGUGAUUUUUGUCUCUUAUGAGAUGAAGCCCUGGUAGGGUAGAAUACUCUAAUCAACCGCACAAUAUUUCUAAGCAGUAAGCUGCAAGAACUUUUCUCUGGCAGAGCUGGCCAAACACAGCCAAUUUCUGGGUCCCCAAAAAGAAUAUUUCUUCUCAGUUUAUUUUUCAAGGUCUCUAGUUAUUUCUAUCUCUUUUCAUGGUAGUUUUAGUCCCUUUUUUCUUUUAUUCCUAUUGUCGGUAAUUAAGUAUCGAUUCAAAACAUGAACUUGAUGUUUUAUCUAUCCAUUCAGUUUUUAUUUUGAUUCAUCAAAUGAUGAAACUGUAUUUGAGUUGUCACUACAUGUCUUCUUUUCCCAGCUACCUACUCGAUUGUUCUUGUGGGACGGACUACCUCGUAAUGCCAUGGGGAAGGUGAACAAGAAAGAGUUGAAAAAGGUGCUGGCAGCUGAACAAUAAAAUCUGGAGCAUUCCUUCUUGAAACAGGAAUUAAGGAAAUACCGAAAUUUGUUGCUGCUUCUGCUUAUCCUAUUCUCCUAUUUCUGGCUUGUGGGUAGAAACAGAUGUUGGAAUUAGGCUUCAUUUGAAUCGUAUAAUAGCAUGAAUAGGAUAGAAAUGGAAAAGUUUUUUCAUGUUGAAUAGUUAUUCUUAACUUCUAUUCAAAUUUAAUAAGGGGAACAAUCAUUUCAUAUUAUAGUUAUUCCACAACGUCAAUUUUUGUUAUUAAAUUUAUAAAUACAUAGUAGUUUUAAUAUAAAAUAGAUAUUUUGCAAAUUUAUAGAAUAAAUAAGUUUCAUAAGUAAUAGGGGCAUAGUUAUUU